UACGAAGGGGGGCUAGCGUUGCUCGGAAUCACUGGGCGUAAAGGGUGCGUAGGCGGGUCUUUUAAGUCAGGGGUGAAAUCCUGGAGCUCAACUCCAGAACUGCCUUUGAUACUGAAGAUCUUGAGUUCGGGAGAGGUGAGUGGAACUGCGAGUGUAGAGGUGAAAUUCGUAGAUAUUCGCAAGAACACCAGUGGCGAAGGCGGCUCACUGGCCCGAUACUGACGCUGAGGCACGAAAAGCGUGGGGGAGCAAACAGGG
rnacentral:rRNA from 1 species